UGGCAAGGUAGUUUAGUUUAAAAUGUUUAUUUUACACGUAAAAGAUAGAUUGAGGUCUUAUUGUCAG
rnacentral:tRNA from 1 species